CCUACGGGAGGCUGCAGUGAGGAAUAUUGGUCAAUGGACGAGAGUCUGAACCAGCCAAGUAGCGUGAAGGAUGACUGCCCUAUGGGUUGUAAACUUCUUUUAUAUGGGAAUAAAACGUUCCACGUGUGGGAUUUUGUAUGUACCAUAUGAAUAAGGAUCGGCUAACUCCGUGCCAGCAGCCGCGGUAAUACGGAGGAUCCGAGCGUUAUCCGGAUUUAUUGGGUUUAAAGGGAGCGUAGGUGGAUUGUUAAGUCAGUUGUGAAAGUUUGCGGCUCAACCGUAAAAUUGCAGUUGAAACUGGCAGUCUUGAGUACAGUAGAGGUGGGCGGAAUUCGUGGUGUAGCGGUGAAAUGCUGAGAUAUCACGAAGAACUCCGAUUGCGAAGGCAGUUCACUGGACUGCAACUGACACUGAGGCUCGAAAGUGUGGGUAUCAAACAGGAUUAGAUACCCUAGUAGUC
rnacentral:rRNA from 1 species